AGAGUUUGAUCCUGGCUCAGAUUGAACGCUGGCGGCAUGCCUAACACAUGCAAGUCGAACGGAAACGAUGGAAGCUUGCUUCCAGGCGUCGAGUGGCGGACGGGUGAGUAAUACUUAGGAAUCUGCCCAUUAGUGGGGGACAACUCGAGGAAACUCGAGCUAAUACCGCAUACGCCCUACGGGGGAAAGCGGGGGUCUUCGGACCUCGCGCUAAUGGAUGAGCCUAAGCCGGAUUAGCUUGUUGGUGAGGUAAAAGCUCACCAAGGCGACGAUCCGUAGCUGGUCUGAGAGGACGAUCAGCCACACUGGGACUGAGACACGGCCCAGACUCCUACGGGAGGCAGCAGUGGGGAAUAUUGGACAAUGGGGGCAACCCUGAUCCAGCAAUGCCGCGUGCGUGAAGAAGGCCUGCGGGUUGUAAAGCACUUUCAGUAGAGAAGAAAAGCCUACGGUUAAUACCCGUGGGUCUUGACGUAACCUACAGAAGAAGCUCCGGCUAACUCCGUGCCAGCAGCCGCGGUAAUACGGAGGGAGCGAGCGUUAAUCGGAAUUACUGGGCGUAAAGCGCGCGUAGGCGGCUUUGUAAGUCGGAUGUGAAAGCCCCGGGCUCAACCCGGGAAUUGCAUUCGAUACUGCAGAACUAGAGUAUGGUAGAGGGAAGUGGAAUUUCCGGUGUAGCGGUGAAAUGCGUAGAUAUCG
rnacentral:rRNA from 1 species